UACGUAGGGGGCUAGCGUUGCUCGGAAUCACUGGGCGUAAAGCGCACGUAGGCGGCUCUUUAAGUCAGGGGUGAAAUCCUGGAGCUCAACUCCAGAACUGCCUUUGAUACUGGGGAUCUCGAGUCCGGAAGAGGUGAGUGGAACUGCGAGUGUAGAGGUGAAAUUCGUAGAUAUUCGCAAGAACACCAGUGGCGAGGGCGGCUCACUGGUCCGGUACUGACGCUGAGGUGCGAAAGCGUGGGGAGCAAACAGG
rnacentral:rRNA from 1 species